CCCUUAGAUGUUCUGGGCCGCACGCGCGCUACACUGUUCGACGCAGCGAGUCUUAACCUUGACCGAAAGGUUUGGGUAAUCUUCAGCAAAGUCGAACGUGAUGGGGAUCGAUCAUUGCAAUUAUUGAUCGUGAACGAGGAAUUCCUAGUAAGUGCAAGUCAUCAGCUUGCGCUGAUUACGUCCCUGCCCUUUGUACACACCGCCCGUCGCUACUACCGAUUGAAUGGUUUAGUGAGAUCUCUGGAUUGACGCUGGCUAGGGGGCGACCCUUGGCCAGGCUGUCGAGAAACUGCUCAAACUUGAUCAUUUAGAGGAAGCAAAAGUCGUAACA
rnacentral:rRNA from 1 species